rnacentral:hammerhead_ribozyme from 1 species
AUCUGGUCGACGAGUCCCGAAUAGGACUAAACGCGCGUCCUAAAU